GAGAGAAGACACAAAAAGACAAAAAAAAAUCUUCCCCCACAGAUUUGACAGUAUCUUCUCCCCUUAUUGAUCCUUUUGGUUAGGUGCCACCCAGGUUAUCUAAGCCUCUUUACCCUUUAGAGGGUAAAGAGAAAUUUUAUGUUACCCUUAGCUAUAUGUUUAUGACAACAUGUCAUCAGAUAAUCUGCUCGUUACCUGUCCUAACACAUAUUCUGGUGGACCAUAUCCUAGCAUAGCUAUGGCUACAAGUACUGAAUGGAAAACUACUGCCAACUCAUAAAAGCAUUGACACUUCAUAACUAAAUGCAAGACUCAUGUCUUCAACUUUGCUUUCCAUCAAUAAGUUCUUCAGAAGCACAGCACACCUAUACAAAUGCCUAUAAAUUAAUUAAGCUGUCUAUCUUACAAACUAGGAAGGAAGAUAGAUUACAAAUAGAAACAACAAAUGCUUUGGAGGUACUUAAGUACUCUGGUAAUCAAAC